rnacentral:tRNA from 1 species
GGAGGUUUGGCAGAGUUGGUCUAUUGCACCGGUCUUGAAAACCGGCAGGCGGCAGCGUCUCAAAGGUUCGAAAUCGCCU